UACGGAGGGGGCUAGCGUUGUUCGGAAUUACUGGGCGUAAAGCGUACGUAGGCGGCUUUGUAAGUAAGAGGUGAAAGCCUGGAGCUCAACUCCAGAACUGCCUUUUAGACUGCAUCGCUUGAAUCCAGGAGAGGUGAGUGGAAUUCCGAGUGUAGAGGUGAAAUUCGUAGAUAUUCGGAAGAACACCAGUGGCGAAGGCGGCUCACUGGACUGGUAUUGACGCUGAGGUACGAAAGCGUGGGGAGCAAACAGG
rnacentral:rRNA from 1 species